UACGUAGGUGGCAAGCGUUGUCCGGAUUUAUUGGGUUUAAAGGGUGCGUAGGCGGAUUAGUAAGUCAGUGGUGAAAGCCCAUCGCUUAACGGUGGAAUUGCCAUUGAUACUGCUAGUCUUGAGUAUGGUUGAGGUGGGCGGAAUGUGUCAUGUAGCGGUGAAAUGCUUAGAUAUGACCCAGAACACCAAUUGCGAAGGCAGCUCGCUAAACCAUAACUGACGCUGAUGCACGAAAGCGUGGGGAGCAAACAGG
rnacentral:rRNA from 1 species